AAGGGCCUGUAGAAUCAACUGGUUAACUCUCUGGGACAAAGGACAGAGCUGCAUGAACUAAAUCCACGACCGUCGGCGUGUACGACGGUAUCUAAAAAACCUCUGUCAGCAAAGAUACACUAGCUCUAAAAGACUCACAUGGCUAAAAAGACCCAUAAGGAUCCACCGGGAAGGAGAAGUCGGUAUAAGAUCUCAUUGUGCUUUAACCAGUAAAAUCUGACAUCCUCGCUUCCUGUGAACUCUCCCCAGGCUAUCUGGGAGAUGUGUACUCCACGAACAUCCAAAAGGGUGCGGUAUGCUGAGGCAUUAGAUUUAUACCUAGAGCAUAAAAUACUAUUUAUAUGAGAGCCCAAAGAUUUUAAGAGAUUAAUUAUGUAUGCUUAAUUAUAAGUCAAAUGCCUAAAAUAUAUCAUUAGAAGCUACAAAACUUUGAGUAGCCACUAAGAUGCUUAUAGGGGCAAAUCAUAAUUGAGCCCGCUAAAUUUAUUUGUAGUCAGGCAUUCUAUAUCUUUAUUUAUAUGAUUAUGUAAUACCUUUGUAGAGGGUCACAAAUACUUUUUUAGGGACUAACAAACUUACGAAGGCUCAUAAAAUUUGAAAUCUUUAUUUUGUGUCUUUGCCAUCAAAAUAUCUAUUUAGCUUAUUAUAAACAAGGCCAUAAAUAUAUUUUAAAUAAAUUGGAUCAAAAAAUGUCACUUAUGUCGUAUGAAAAAUAUAGGGAUUUUUACAUACAUGUCACUUUAUAACAUGUGUAUUACAUAUUUAACACCUAAUUCUUAAAUAUUACACUCCUACCACCUAUUUUUUAUUUUCACAACAAAAUUACCACUCCGUUAACCAGCAACCUCACUUCGUUUUUUUUUUUCCUUCCCUUCUGUGAUUUUCGCGGGAGAACAGGUUUCAGCGAAACCUUGUUUAUCCCUCUAAGCUGCUCUUCCAACUUUGCUGCUCUUCCAUGCGAGCAAACUUUAUUCCCGCCUGUGCUUUUCACGGAGAACCGCUUUCCAACCGAAAUGAAAGUUCUGUAACCUGCUUCUAUCUAAAUGAAAGUUCUGUAACCUGCUGCUAUCCAACCGAAACUUCCCAAUAUAAAAACGUGAAGCAAUAACCUUUUAUGCAAAUGGCGGUUUAACACAAACAGCAAAUUUCAGUGGGAAGAGCUGAAGGAGCAGACAAUUUAGGGCGGGGUAGUGUGAAAUGAAGCGAAGAAGGGACGGAGUGAGAGGGAGUGGUAUUUUUGAGGUUAAGUUUGUAUUUGAGUGGUAUAAAUGAAAUAUUUAAGUUUUGUGUUAAAUAUGUAAUACACAUGUUAUAAA